rnacentral:rRNA from 1 species
UGUGCUUACAAGUAGUCAGAGCCCGUUAAUGGGUGAUGGCGUGCCUUUUGUAGAAUGAACCGGCGAGUUACGAUCUGAUGCAAGGUUAAGCAGAAAAUGUGGAGCCGUAGCGAAAGCGAGUCUGAAUAGGGCGAAUGAGUAUUUGGUCGUAGACCCGAAACCAGGUGAUCUACCCUUGGUCAGGUUGAAGUUCAGGUAACACUGAAUGGAGGACCGAACCGACUUACGUUGAAAAGUGAGCGGAUGAACUGAGGGUAGCGGAGAAAUUCCAAUCGAACUUGGAGAUAGCUGGUUCUCUCCGAAAUAGCUUUAGGGCUAGCCUCAAGUGAUGAUUAUUGGAGGUAGAGCACUGUUUGGACGAGGGGCCCCUCUCGGGUUACCGAAUUCAGACAAACUCCGAAUGCCAAAUAAUUUAACUUGGGAGUCAGAAUGUGGGUGAUAAGGUCCAUAUUCGAAAGGGAAACAGCCCAGACCACCAGCUAAGGUCCCAAAAUAUAUGUUAAGUGGAAAAGGAUGUGGCGUUGCCCAGACAACUAGGAUGUUGGCUUAGAAGCAGCCAUCAUUUAAAGAGUGCGUAAUAGCUCACUAGUCGAGUGACACUGCGCCGAAAAUGUACCGGGGCUAAACAUAUUACCGAAGCUGUGGAUUGUCCUUUGGACAAUGGUAGGAGAGCGUUCUAAGGGCGUUGAAGCAUGAUCGCAAGGACAUGUGGAGCGCUUAGAAGUGAGAAUGCCGGUGUGAGUAGCGAAAGACGGGUGAGAAUCCCGUCCACCGAUUGACUAAGGUUUCCAGAGGAAGGCUCGUCCGCUCUGGGUUAGUCGGGUCCUAAGCUGAGGCCGACAGGCGUAGGCGAUGGAUAACAGG